AGAAAAAGGUUUGCCAUUGGAAGUUACUGAAGAAAUAUUGUCUCCUGCUCCCCACUACGGAAUUAGCAGAGCAAUCCUUUUCUUCCCUUCUCCCUGGAAAGGACAGCAGGAGGCCAGGGCACCACCUUUAUCUGAAGGCUCAUAAUGAAACUCUGAGACAGCAGCCCAUGAUUUUGAAGGAGAAAUCUGCUCUUGAACUGAAGACCACAGCCUUAAAAAGCCUGGAGUGUGAUGUCUGCCUUUCAGAAAUCUGCACAGCACUUCAGCAUGGAGAGGAGACCCCUACUAUGGAAAAAGCCAAAUUCCAGUGAAUGCAGCAGUGGAUCUGACCCAGAUUUCUGGCCAGGAACUCUGAUGAGAGUGAAGUAGCUGCCCUGAAGUUCCUGCUCUCCAGUCAGGAAGAUGUCAGUGAACACAGAAUCUGGUAAACUUAGGGAUGUUUUUAUUAAACAGCUUUGGG
rnacentral:lncRNA from 12 species